rnacentral:rRNA from 1 species
GAUGAACGCUGGCGGCGUGCCUAAUACAUGCAAGUCGAGCGAACGGACGAGAAGCUUGCUUCUCUGAUGUUAGCGGCGGACGGGUGAGUAACACGUGGAUAACCUACCUAUAAGACUGGGAUAACUUCGGGAAACCGGAGCUAAUACCGGAUGAUAUUUUGAACCGCAUGGUUCAAAAGUGAAAGACGGUCUUGCUGUCACUUAUAGAUGGAUCCGCGCUGCAUUAGCUAGUUGGUAAGGUAACGGCUUACCAAGGCAACGAUGCAUAGCCGACCUGAGAGGGUGAUCGGCCACACUGGAACUGAGACACGGUCCAGACUCCUACGGGAGGCAGCAGUAGGGAAUCUUCCGCAAAGGGCGAAAGCCUGACGGAGCAACGCCGCGUGAGUGAUGAAGGUCUUCGGAUCGUAAAACUCUGUUAUUAGGGAAGAACAUAUGUGUAAGUAACUGUGCACAUCUUGACGGUACCUAAUCAGAAAGCAACGGCUAACUACGUG